GCCUUUGUGGUGUAGUUGUCAGCACACUCGGCACCUAUUCAAGUGGUCCGAGGUUCGAGUCCCGGCGAGAGCA
rfam:Stegodyphus mimosarum contig84869, whole genome shotgun sequence.